rnacentral:lncRNA from 1 species
GCAGAAAGAUGUUUAUACCCAGUGACAGCCACUACCCAGCCACCAGCGCAGGGCCUGAAAGCUGAGCCUACACUGGGAACUAUUUACUGUCAGCUGCUCUCUGUCAGCAGGCUCCGGAGCCACAGGGACUCUAAGGAAGCAAAGAUUGAGAGCCAGCUGAAGAGGAGAGAGAGGCUGCAGAGGAUACCUGAACCGGGGAGCUGGUUGGGUUCCCACAGGGCACUGCGAGGCGUUGCCUGGUGUUGGAGAACGAGCUGGCCCCUGGCUGAUCUUAAACAGCGCGGCUGAGGGCCAUAGCGAGGGUACUGUGUAAGCCAUGAAGCUUUGGGUCAUCGGCACCGCCAGUUCCCUGUGCUUCUAGCUCUGCAUGAAACCAAGGGCCAUAAAGGGGCUGCUGAGGAGAGCCACGGUGAACAGGAGCCAGGUUGAGGGUAACGUGAGGUGGCUAGCAGGAUGAAACUGGAGUCCCAACUGCAGGAGGCCACCCAGAGAGAGCCUCUAAAGAGGGAACUGCAGACACCCUCCCAAUGGCAGAAGCUGCCCCUGGGAGGUGAUCUGUAAGCAUAUCUGAAGGACCCUGCCCUCCGUGAUCCUAAAGGAAGAAGAAGGGACCGAAAAAGGAAGGUGACAUCUCAGUGAUGCUUGUGUGUGUUCUAAGCAGAGGCGGCAGGAGUCCCUAAGGAGAAGGAGGAACUGCAGCUGAGGGGGCCAUGCAGGACACAGGGAGGACUGGCAAGAGAUCAAGACUGAGCUGGCCAAGACUGUACAUGGAAGAAUCCAACGCCAGCCAGAAGCUCACAGAGGAAGCGCGAGACUGUACGAUUAACACGAAGGACUCCCUCAGGGUCUCAUAGACCUAGGCUGGUCCAGGUGGGGACUGUGGCGAUGCCAGGAAAGGAAGAAAAGGUGUGAGAUGGGGAGAAGAUAAGAAGAGGGCUGCAGGAGUGAAGGCUGGGGCUAGCCCCAGCUCCCAAGUAUGCUGGCGACUCCAUGUGUCUGCUUCCUUCUGCUGCUCAGCUGCUGUAGCAAUGACAAUGACAGUUAUGGCUUCGAGAUAUUCUUAGCGGGUCUCAUGUCUUCCAGGCCGGUCUCAAACUCCCUAUGUAGCUGAGAAUGACCUUGAACUUUAAUACCCUCUUCCCUCCACCUCCUGAGUGCUGGAAUUAGAGGUGUGCGACACCACACU